rnacentral:rRNA from 1 species
UUGACUCACGCGGGAAUCUUACCGGGUCCGGACACACUGAGGAUUGACAGGUUAUGGGGCGGGUUGAAUUUCAAUCUCUUCGGGGAUUAAUUUUCUCCCACCUCAAAAAUAUGCUAGUCCUUUCAUGAUUAUGUGAUAGGUGGUGCAUGGCCGUUCUUAGUUCGUGGAGUGAUCUGUCUGCUUAAUUGCGUUUCACUAAAGGCGUCAUUAAUUUUUUGUGCCUGUGUUUGACCCCGCACUUCGGUGCGCGCGCGUCUUUCACACACAAUUACUUUGACGUCUGAAAGCAACGAACGUGACCGUAACCUCUUGUUGCCUUCUCUUCUCUUCGGAGAAUGCUGCUUUAUACCUUCACGGGUGUAUUGCAGUAUACGGAGGCUUAAUACUCAGUAACUAGAGGGACCGCUGUUACUUUCUUUAAACCAGAGGAAGGUUGCGGCAAUAACAGGUCUGUGAUGCCCUUAGAUGUUCCGGGCUGCACACGUGAUACAUUGAUUACUUCAGUGAGUAUCUACGUAUUACUGCGCAGCAGUAUACGCGUGUUGUUUAUUGCUUCGGCAAUUUACUUUGCGCUAUACGCCGCCUUAACCUACUUCGAAAGUAUGUGGGUAACCAAUUAGAAGUAGUGAUUUCCCUCUUUAUAAGCACACUUAUAUGGAGCAUCAUCACCCGGCAUGCCUUGUGCAUGUUUUGUGUGUGUUGUUUGUCUACAUGUGCUUUUGUCAAUUCAUAGUGGGGACAGACCAUUGUUAAUUGUUGGUCUCGGUCUU